rnacentral:rRNA from 1 species
UAGGUGUAGGCGCAGCGAAAGCGAGUCUGAAUAGGGCGACUGAGUUUGAUGCAUUAGACCCGAAACCCGGCGAUCUAGGCAUGACCAGAGUGAAGGUGCGGUAACACGCACUGGAGGCUCGAACCGAUUAACGUUGAAAAGUUACCGGAUGAGUUGUGUUUAGGGGUGAAAGGCCAAUCAAGCCGGGAAAUAGCUGGUUCUCCGCGAAAACUAUUGAGGUAGUGCCUCGGAUGUUUUCCGAUGGGGGUAGAGCACUGGAUGGGCUAGGGGGCCGCGAGGUCUACCAAACCUAACCAAACUCCGAAUACCAUCGAGUAUAGUCCGGGAGACAGACGGCGGGUGCUAAGGUCCGUCGUCAAAAGGGAAACAGCCCUAACCUACAGCUAAGGUCCCCAAGUCAUCACUAAGUGGGAAAGCAUGUGGGACUUCCAAAACAACCAGGAGGUUGGCUUAGAAGCAGCCAUCCUUUAAAGAAAGCGUAACAGCUCACUGGUCUAAUUAAGAGGUCCUGCGGCGAAGAUGUAUCGGGGCUAAAGUGAUGCACCGAAGCUUAGGGUUCGAUCUUCAUUGAUCGAGCGGUAGCGGAGCGUUCCGUAAGCCAUUGAAGCGAUCUGGUAAUGGGUCGUGGAGGUAUCGGAAGUGCGAAUGCUGACAUGAGUAGCGAUAAAGAGGGUGAGAUGCCCUCUCGCCGAAAGCCCAAGGGUUCCUGCGCAAGGCUAAUCCGCGCAGGGUGAGUCGGCCCCUAAGACGAGCCCGAAGGGGGUAGUCGAUGGGAAACAGGUUAAUAUUCCUGUACCUGGUGGUGUGUGACGGAUCUCGUGUGUCGUCAGUCCUUAUUGGAUUGGUACUGGCGGCGAAGAGGUUCCAGGAAAUAGCCCCACCGUAUAGACCGUACCCGAAACCGACACAGGUGGGCAGGUAGAGUAUACCAAGGCGCUUGAGAGAAGGGUGUUGAAGGAACUCGGCAAAUUGCCUCCGUACCUUCGGAAGAAGGAGGCCCUCAUCGCGGGCAACCGCUUUGAGGGGGCACAGGCCAGGGGGUAGCGACUGUUUAACAAAAACACAGGGCUCUGCUAAGUCGGCUUCAAGACGACGUAUAGGGUCUGACGCCUGCCCGGUGCCGGAAGGUUAAGAGGAGGAGUGCAAGCUCCGAAUUGAAGCCCCGGUAAACGGCGGCCGUAACUAUAACGGUCCUAAGGUAGCGAAAUUCCUUGUCGGGUAAGUUCCGACCUGCACGAAUGGCGU